UAGGGAAUAUUAGAAAUGGACGAAAGUCUGAUCUAGCAACACCGCGUGCGCGAAGAAGGCCUUCGGGUCGUAAAGCACUUUUUGGAAGGAAUAGGAAGGAAUGUACUUCCAGAAUAAGUCUCGGCUAACUACGUGCCAGCAGCCGCGGUAACACGUAGGAGGCGAACGUUAUCCGGAUUUACUGGGCGUAAAGCCCGUGUAGGUGGUUCUGUAAGUAGGGCGUGAAAGCUCCUGGCUCAACUGGGAGAGGCCGUUCUAAACUACAGAACUAGAGGAUGGUAGAGGGAGGUGGAAUUCCAGGUGUAGCGGUGGAAUGCGCAGAUAUCUGGAGGAACACCAGUGGCGAAGGCGGCCUCCUGGACCAUUCCUGACACUCAGACGCGAAAGCUAGGGUAGCAAACG
rnacentral:rRNA from 1 species